rnacentral:rRNA from 1 species
GAUGAACGCUGGCGGCGUGCCUAAUACAUGCAAGUCGAGCGGACGGACGAGCAGCUUGCUUCUCUGAUAUUACCGGCGGACGGGUGAGUAACACGUGGAUAACCUACCUAUAAGACUGAGAAAACUUCGGGAAACCGGAGCUAAUACCGGAUACUAUUUUGAACCGCAUGGUUCAAAAAUGAAAGACGGUCUUGCUGUCACUUACAGAUUGAUCCGCACUGCAUUAGCUAGUUGGUAAGGUAACGGAAUAUCAAGGCAACGAUGCAGAGGCGACCUGAGAGGGUGAGCUGCCACACUGGAACGGAUACACGGUCCAGAGGCCAACGGGAGGCAGCAGUAGGGAAUCUGCCGCGAUGGGCGAAAGACUGACGGAGCAACGCCGCGUCAGUGAUGAAGGUCUUCGGAUCGUAAAACUCUGUUAUUAGGGAAGAACAUAUGUUUAAGUAACUAUGCACAUCUUGACGGUACCUAAUCAGAAAGCCACGGCUAACUACGUG